CAAUAUUCUCUGUAAUAUCGUUACUUUUUUAUUUUUUUCACGUUUAUUUAUUGAAUGAUUAAUGAUUAAGUCAGUUAUGAUCGUAUCUUCGGGUAUUUUGAAAGUACUUAGCUGUAUCUCAUCGAUAAUCGGAUGUAUCAAUAAAGCACUUUAAACACGAUAGGCUAUCUCCGUGUGUACGCGGAUCGCAAAUGCAUUAUCUGGAAACGCUCGUGACUUAUUAUUUCAUAAAUCGACACACGCGAAAGGUCUUGACCAAGACGGAAAUCGCGACGGUGGAAAAAAGCGCGAGAACGGCGCAAAAUUCACGGUUGAUUUAUAUAAAACGCGAGCGGGCCGCAUUUUAAUUGAGAUAUAAAUUUCUGGCCGUGAGUAUCGAAGUCACGGUCCAAUUUCAUUACGGAAUUUAAUGCCCGCGGUGUCAAUAAAAUGUCGACGGAUAUCUACCCGACAAUAUCCGCCGCUUUUGCGCUGAAUUUUACGCUUAUUUUUAGUCAGUUAUUUGCGAAUAAAAUUGCAAAAUGAGUUUCGCGGGACACGGAAAAUUGCUGCGAUUGAGAUAAUAUAUAUGUGAUAUAACGAGUAUCUUAAUAUCACACGAUAAACACUCCUAUUUGCAAAAAUGUUUUUAUUUGUCUAAACAAUUGUUAUACUUAAGCACUUAUUGUUGCAACAAUCGAAUUUUCCGACAAGUUUUUCGGUUAUUUCUUUCAAUUUCUUUCAACGUGAUAUUUUUCCAAUCACGACCUUUCCUAAAAUUCGUUAACGAAUAUCUUGCCAACGAAUUUGUAUCUAAGAAUUCACCAAGUUAAACACGGAAAAACACGUUAAUGGUGCUUACUGCACAAUUGGCAUCCCUACCGACUGGCUCGCCACUUGACGUUGACGCUUGUCUGGUCGCCUUUACUAAGGCGUAAUUACUCGACGCAGUACUCUUCAAUCAAAUGCAAGUGUAGACAGUUACGGCAGGCGAGCAUGAUAAUUAAACUAAGGAGAAACGUAAACGAGAUUCGCUCUGUGUACCUUCUGUAACAAUUCGCACUCGCCAGAGGCGUAAAGUCCAUCUCUUCAGCUUUAUACACACACAUACAUGCAUAUAUUUUCACACAAAGCCUUUGCUUAUUUCAGGAAUCAACAAAAACUCAAAGUAUCUUUACAAUUAUUAAUUAUUGAAUAUCGACAUGAAAAUAUCCAUGUUUCAUGGCGUUUAAUUACGGAAUACAAAUGCAAGAUGAAACUUACACGAUUUUAUUUUUCCAGUUCUGUAACAGUAACAAUACUUCUUUCUUGCGCCAAUUGGAUGCCGUUAAUAUUUUUUAGAAAUUUCCUAUGUGUUUCAGUAGUAACUAAAAUCAAUGACCUAAUCGAACAAGUUAUCAUUCAUUAUCUCGUUGUUAAUUUCUCGCAGAUAAUUACAAUUUAUUGUAACAUAAGUAAUGUAGAUUCGAUAUUUUUCAUCCAUUUGAUCAGAUAUCUCGUUCCUAAGCUGAUAUCUUGUCUUCCUAACUUACUAUAAUAAAUACAGAUUAUACUUAUUUGAUUGGAAAAUUUGGAAAAUCCUCAAGUUUAAUCUAAACAUAUCACACGAUCCAAUCACGGGAAUUUUCGGACUCCAUUAUGAAACUUUUCAAUUUGCGUAAAUUUUAAUCCACGGUAGAUUUCAUAUUGGGUUGCAAUGUAGGUUCGCGUAGUAGAUUAAAUCUUCAUGGAGAAAUGGGGCCGAUUGAGCGCGGUAAAUCAAGACCCCUUGGCUUUUCAUCUAAGGAGAGACGCGUUUCUUUAAAUCAUUCUCUCUCGCGCUGCACGUCAGCGAAAAGAGAUGAACAUUUAAAUUUGUAUUUUCAUCUCUGCCUACGCGGAAUUUUUUUCUUAUACUUCAUCAUGAAGAGACAAUAUGAGAAAUAAAUGAAUUAACUUUCGAUAUAUCAUCAAGGCCGAUUGGAUUAAAUUUGAAUUUUUGUGUUUUUUUUUUAAUGAUCAGUUGCAACUAUUCGUAUGAAUUUGUGACUUUCAAAUUUACGGCUUUUAUUCUUUCCUAAAGUUCUUCCAGAAACACAAGGAGAAAAUUCACUUAUUUCUUUUUUGAACAGAACAAAGUAAUUCAUUGAUUUAAUUAAACCUCGAUGGUACGAUGUCGCGGAUUAACACAUCUGGCAUUAUUUCCAAUAUUUUGAAAAUAUACUUCGCAAGCUGCUAAAGUGCAAAGUUUUGUUUCUAACGCUUUCUUUCUAUUAAUAGAAGUACCGAUUAGAUAUCGCGACCAUUGCUGCAAUUUUUUUUAUGCAUUAUGCAAAUAAUGUGUGAUGCACGCAUUCGCAUUCGCUCCUUUUACGGAAUGGUCACGGUCGGUGGGAAUAAUAACUUCAGUAGUGCGAUUUACAUGCGCGGACGAUUCGGAAAUUAUCUUCCUUCUGCAGGAACAUCCUCCAUUGAAACCUCGUUUGCGCCUAUGGCGGUAUGACGCGCGUCGACAACGGGCUAGAAACGAUUUCCCUUCGCCAUACGCUUCGAAUGCCGUAUUGUCUCUGCCCGGUCGACAUUCUGCUUUAUCGGUCAUAUUGAAGCAGCCGACCGGAAACGCGGCAGCCGAAUAUGCUUCGAAUUUCCUUUUCUCCCUCGUCCCUGCCGAUCGUUCUCUCCGCUGUCCUCUAAAACUGACGAUUCAGAUCUCUCGGAGGGUUCUCGAGUAUGGGUUCGAGACGUUGCUGAUAGGAGCGGCCGCGGCGUGUCAUCCAUGGUAUUUGCCAAACGUCAAAUAUCAGCUCCGAAAGAGCGAAUGGGUAUCGCGCCAUUGUUCGACGUGGAAUAUUUGUUCCGUGUGAAAUUGCACGAAAUUUAUGUCUCAUAAAACAUAAUUGACACAUGACAUAUAUAUAUAUAUUUUUUUCUCUUCUUAAAAAUUGUAUAGUGAUGUUAUAUAUAAUAACGUUAUCGAAAUUUUGUUAAUAUCUUAGCGAGGUGCUAGUCGACGCUAAUUAGAAAUUUCGAGCGGAUGCAUCAAGAAAUCGUUUUUCAUUCGCACCGUUAUAUUCUUACGUCUUUGUGAUAACGUACUGCUUCUAAAACUGAGCUCGACGUUUAACAUCGGAGAUUAACCCGUAGACUGGAUUAUUUAUUAACGCACUAACGGAAAUAGUAACGUAGCUUGCAAGAGUUCCCCGCUCGUCUGCAAAUCGUGUAAUAACGUGCCGCUUAAUUGUAUUAAUGACAAACUGCUUUAUGAUGAGGUUCAGUUUUCUGAGCUGUCGGCCGGGAUGUGGAAGAAGGAUGUGACGAGGGUGCACAAGGCGCCUAAGAUAUUAACCACGUCCUUAAUUAAUAAAGAUAUUCAGUCAUGUGACUAAUCCGAUUUCAGGGAUGAGGCUUAUAUUGAAUUAAGAUGUUCGAAGAUAGCGUUACCUUUACCACCGUGCUUUUUUUUUUCAUUUAACCAUCAGCUAAAUAUUUCGAGUUUGUGUUUUGCAAGCUGUCUUUUUGAAAAACGUUAUUCAAUGUAAAAAAUUGGGGAAAAUUAAGGGGACGCACGUAUAGAUUAUUUUAAUAUUUUGGGAAAUAUUUUUCGUGGAAACAGUCUUCUUUUAUCGUAUCUAGUUUUUCAAUUACGAUACUAAGGACGCUUUAAAUUGUCCCUCUCACUGUUACUUUAUCUUGCGUGUAACAGCUUUGGUCUUCUUUAAACUGGAUUGAGAACGACCUGAAAAAUUAUCUGCAACGACAGGGCCGUCAUCUCAUGACUCACGGAGUAUACAUAUGCAAAUUGACGUGUAAUUACCGAUGAAAAGAAAUCGUGUCGACAAUUUCAUUAGCUGCGUUUGACUGUGAAAAAUAAAGUUCAAGGUCAAGGCAAUAGCAUUGCGAAAAUAAUGAUAACCGAAACUUAAUUUAACGAAAGCUGAUAACAUUUGAAAGCAUUUUAUUAUAUUACUUAAUUCGGAUUACCCACUAUAAAAAUAAUGACAUCGAGAAGCGCCAAAUCGUAUGUAACAAAUUAAUAAGAGCUGAUUCACUUAAUCAUGUUUCCUCAAUAUGAAAUAUCUUUCCUAUAUCUAUACUUUUUUUACAAUAUAUAGCUAUAUAUUUCCGAAAGAAUUGAGAGUGAAUUGGCUUUUACAUUAGAUCCGCUCGAGUCAAAAAGAAACAUAGCAACACUACCGUGUCUCUUAAUUUUCACGUAAUUUAAAAAUAUUUUAAAAUAAAAUUAACAUCGUAAGGUAACUGUCUUCUAAUCUCAUUUAUCGCUCCCAGGAUUUCUGCUGACCUCGACGAUGCAAUAAUGCAUCAAGAUGCAAGAUUAUGGCCUUCUAUUUACCCGCGAGCGCUAUGUGUCAUAUGUUAUCUUUAUCAUCUUUAUUUUACAUCGGUGUUAUCGUCGGUACUGUUGUAGUAUAAAACACACGAUAAAAAGUAUACGGUUGCAAGAUAUAAUACGCAUUGCACACUGCAAUCUCAGAGUAUAAUAUGCAUAUCGCGUUUAUUUUUUGCGACGUAUUAAAUAAAUUUGGUAAUGUCGUUAAAAAGUCAAGUGUUGAUAACCUACGCCCUCCAGAAUGUUAAACAUCUUGUAAAUCUUUCUGUUUAAUCAUGCACUUAUACGUGAAAGUCAUAAGUCGAAAACAUAUAAAAGAUCGCGUUGAAACAUGUGGUUAUCAGUUGCGAUUUCUGCAGUGUAGCACGCAUAACGCAAGCAAAUACAUAAAAUGGCUCGUCUAAUUGCUUUGCUCGUCCUCGUCAUUGCGGUCUGCACCGUUUCCGCUUAUUCACCGGAACCUCAGUGCGGUACUCAUGAGGAAUGGACCACUUGUGGGCGACCGGAAGCUUGUGAAGCUAAAUGCAAUCAAUCCCCGCCUCUAAUCUGCCCUGCGGUUUGCGUCUCGCGUUGCCAGUGCCAAAAAGGAUAUUUAAGAAACCAAGCGAACUUUUGCGUUCUCGCGACACUUUGUUAACGGAUUUCGAUACAUCUUUCUUGAUAGCGACGGCGAUACCGGCGAACCGAGUCUCUUGAAGAAUCAGCUAUGACAAUCGGUGUGCUUAAAUUGUUAAAAAGUUUCUGAUCUUCGUUGUAAUUUUAUUCAUAUAUCGAUGCUUUAUAUUUAUAAAAAUAUUAAUUUUUAUAAAUAUCAGAUAUCGCUAUUG